rnacentral:lncRNA from 1 species
UAACAAAACGCCUUGCCUAUUCAUAGACAACAAAUGGUUUUAAUGUGUAAACAACUCCCAAGGAGUGGCAUCAGCAAUGCUGAGGAAACCUAGGUAGCCCUGAAACAGCCUGCCCGGUACUGGCUGCUUUCCCUGUGAUUCCAGCCUGGCUCCAAAUUUCUCUCCUGAGCCAUCUCAAAGGAUUCUCUGUCUAACGUGCAGGGAGGGCUCCACCAGUGACUUGGUGCCACCGGUUCCCUUGAGACCUAGCUCCUGGCUUUUGAUGGAUUAAUCCUUCACUUCUCAGGCCAUGGGAGAACCGGAGAGGAGAGCCUAGGAGCACUGGGUACCAGCUCCCGCCCCUGCGAAUGUUGGGCACUUUGUCUCCAGUGUUCAGCAGUCGGCGACAGCGGCAGCCCCGCGCAGCCCGGGACUUGGCAAGCCCUUGCCAGCGCGCGCUCCUCCUCCUGCGGCCUGGCCCAGCCCGGCGCAUCUCGGAGGACACUGAUGCUCCGCUUGCUCGGCAGAGUCAUGUCAUUCUCGCCUAUGCCGCCUCCGCCGCCGCCACCACCACCGCCCGCCCGAACCCAGGGGGGGCCCGCCGCACGCCAGCUAUCCCGGAGACCCUGCGGGCCGCCGGCAGCCUCGCCGCCCGCCCCUGCGGCCGCCGCCGCGGGCGAGAAAAAGAGGAGGCCGCCCGAGAUGCUACUCUCCAGCUCCUGGCCCUCCGCCACCCUGAAGAGGCCCCCGGCACGGCGCGGCCCGGGCUUGGGUCCCGGCACCCCGCAGCCCCCUACCUCCGCACGCGUCCCGCCCCAGCCCUCUCCAGGCCGUGGGGGGACCUCGGCCACGUGCUCCGCGCCCCGGCGGAUCGCCUGCAGCCACAUCCCAGCUGGAUCCACCGCCUCGGGGACCUCGGCGGGGGCGGGGGCUGGGCCCGAGGACGCCACACGCUUCUCCUUGAGCCUCACCCCAGAAGCCAUCCUGGUCAUCCAGAGGCGCCACCUGGAGAAGCAGUUGCUGGCGCGACCCCGAAGGCCCUUCCCCGCGCCCUCGGCUGAUCCGCGGCGCCCACUGGUCCCCUGUCCCCGGACCAGGUCUUCGACCCUGCGGAGGGGCGGUCCCACCAGUGUCCCCGACGCGCCUCUAGCUGUGGCUGUCAGCAGCCGCCCACCCCGUGCCUCGCUGCUGCCAGGAGGUCUGCAGGCCACUAUGCCCAGCCCGCGCCCCUCCAGCCUGCGCCCAGUGCUCAAGGUGUCGCUGCUCAAUGAGAAGCACAAGUAUGAUGAUGAGGAGUACGAGGAGGAGGUGGAGGUGGUGGACGAGGGCCUCGUGCGCAAGUGCACCGAGUGGCUGCGUGGGGUGGAGUCGGCGGCAGCUGCGAGGGGCCGCACUGGGCAUCUGGACUCGCUGCCACACCUGAGCACGCUGUGAGCUGGGUGAGCCUGUGGGACCCAGCCUUGCUCGAGGCCCACCGCCGCCUCCUGCGCUCUUUGCACACCUGGGCUCGGGUGAACCAGGUAGGCCAGCAAGGGACAGGACUAUUGCCUGGAACCUCAUCCAGGUGUGCUUACUCAUGAGUGACCCACAGUCUUUUCUAACGCCCACCACCCACCUCCUGUGCAAUUAGGUCAGUGUGGGACACAGCAGACUCACCUGACUCCAGCAACUGUCCCGUGCUCCUCCUGCUCCCCUGUGGGGAGGAAGGACCUGUGAAAUGCCUUCUAACCUCCCACCCUAACUAAGGAUUGGACCCAGAGGUCCUCUGCCCCAGGUGGCGUCCCACUUCCUGGGAACUCUGCAAGCCUGUGACCACUGAGGGUGGAGUGGUCU